rnacentral:rRNA from 1 species
AAUUCCAGCUCCAAUAGUGUAUAUUAGAGUUGUUGCAGUUAAAAAGCUCGUAGUUGGAUUUCUGCUGUGGUCAUCCGGUACCGCCCGUAUGGGUGCGCACCUGGUUUGGCUCCGGCUUUUUUCCUGUAGCCGUCCGCGCUUAAUUGCGUGUACUGUGUUACGGAACUUUUACUUUGAGAAAAAUAGAGUGUUUCAAGCAGGCUUGUCGCCCUGAAUACUUCAGCAUGGAAUAAUAGGAUAGGACCUUGGUUCUAUUUUGUUGGUUUCUAGGACCAAGGUAAUGAUUAAUAGGGACAGUUGGGGGCAUUCGUAUUUAACUGUCAGAGGUGAAAUUCUUAGAUUUGUUAAAGACGAACUACUGCGAAAGCAUUUGCCAAGGAUGUUUUCAUUAAUCAAGAACGACAGUAGGGGGUUUGAAGACGAUUAGAUACCGUCGUAAUCUCUACCAUAAACUAUGCCGACUAGAGAUAGGGAAACGCCUACCUUGGCUUCUCCUG